ACUCCUACGGGAGGCAGCAGUAGGGAAGUCUUCCACAAUGGGCGCAAGCCUGAUGGAGCAACACCGCGUGAGUGAAGAAGGGUUUCGGUCUCGUAAAGACUCUGUUGUUAAAGAAGAACACGUAUGAGAGUAACUGUUCAUACGUUGACGGUAUUUAACCAGAAAGUCACGGCUAACUACGUGCCAGCAGCCGCGGUAAUACGUAGGUGGCAAGCGUUAUCCGGAUUUAUUGGGCGUAAAGAGAGUGCAGGCGGUUUUCUAAGUCUGAUGUGAAAGCCUUCGGCUUAACCGGAGAAGUGCAUCGGAAACUGGAUAACUUGAGUGCAGAAGAGGGUAGUGGAACUCCAUGUGUAGCGGUGGAAUGCGUAGAUAUAUGGAAGAACACCAGUGGCGAAGGCGGCUACCUGGUCUGCAACUGACGCUGAGACUCGAAAGCAUGGGGUAGCGAACAGGAUUAGAUACCCUGGUAGGAUAGCG
rnacentral:rRNA from 1 species